ensembl:snRNA U6 U6 spliceosomal RNA
GUGCUCAAUUCAGCAGCACAUGUACUAAAAAAUUGGAAGGAUACAGAAAUUAGCCCCUGCGCAAGGAUGACACACAAAUCUGUGAAGGUUCCAUAUUAAA